CGCGUUUAGAGGAUCAGUGGCGGCGGGCCCGCGCGGUGCCGGCGACUAGCAGCGAGAUGUCCUGGCCCCUUCCAGGUUUGGGAGAAUGGAGAGAGCAAGGUGUAGCUGAUUAGCAAGUUAAUUAUUUCAGUACCCCAAGGGUUCAUGCGUGGUGGAGAUGGCCUUGGGAGAGCAACCUCCGGACCUCAGCAGUGUGAGGAUGACAACAGUACCCUGUGGUGCUGUCCCCACUCAGGGUUUCUCUCUGUAGCCCCAACUGUCCUGGAACUCACUCUGCAGACCAGGCUGUCCUCAAGCUCAGAGAUCUACCUGCCUCUGCCUCUGAAGUACUGGGAUUAAAGAUGCAGAGGCCUCCCAGAGAAGUGUGAAGGAAUGGGCCUUAACCAGGGUUGAAGAAAGAAAGUGAAGAAGGGGAGAGCCCAAGGAAAGGUGGGGACAGUUGGAACUUUUGUUUACACUGGUCUACUACUCAUGUAUCGUAUGCUAUAAUCUCCAAAUUCCACAUUUAUUGUAGCUGUCUGCCCCGGCCGCAUGCUGCUUGGCUAAAAAAGUGUUAAAUAAAACUGUAAGAAACGCUA
ensembl:lincRNA Lhx1os LIM homeobox 1, opposite strand